rnacentral:rRNA from 1 species
ACUCCUACGGGAGGCAGCAGUGGGGAAUAUUGGACAAUGGGGGCAACCCUGAUUCAGCGAUGCCGCGUGUGUGAAGAAGGCCUGAGGGUUGUAAAGCACUUUUAGUGGGGAGGAAAGUUAACAGGUUAAGAGCUAGUUAAGUUGACGUUACCCACCAUAAACAGCACCGGCUAACUCCGUGCCAGCAGCCGCGGUAAUACGGGGGUGCAAGCGUUAUCCGGAAUCACUGGGUUUAAAGGGUGCGUAGGCGGCGUUGUAAGUCAGAGGUGAAAUCCCACAGCUUAACUGUGGAACUGCCUUUGAUACUGCAAUGCUUGAAUCAGGUUGAGGUCGGCGGAAUGUGUUGUGUAGCGGUGAAAUGCAUAGAUAUGACAUAGAACACCAAUUGCGAAGGCAGCUGGCUAGACCUGUAUUGACGCUGAGGCACGAAAGCGUGGGGGAGCGAACAGGAUUAGAUACCCUGUAGGUCAGUC